AUUCCAUAGUGAUGCAUGGGGAAACGGAUAAAGAAGGACAUGGCGUUUAUACAUAUAUCCAAAAUUCUAUUCUAUCCAAAAUUUGUGAACUCCUCAACCCAUGUCAUGAACAACAACGAAAUAAACAAUUUUAAACUAAAAAAGGGUGGAGAGAGAGAGAGAGAAUCUUUACCAAAAAAACAAGAUUACAUAACGAAAGUAUUUAUAAGUUAGAAAUACAAAUUAUACAGCUUUCUAUACAUCACAUUUUCACAACAUUGAGAACUUUGAUAAAGAAAAAUAAAUAAAUCAGAGAUACCUUAAACACCAUUAGAUA